AAUAUUUUUGUAAAGAAAAACCCGCGUUUUCCCUUAGAAUGACCCAUGGUCCACAUCUCUGGCCCAAUAUGAUAAAUCAUAAAUAUAAAUCCAAACCUCUAUUCCCUUCCCCUCCAUCCUCUACUAACCCCGCCCUCAUCAAGCGCAUCUCCUCUAACCCCCUAACUCCCCACACACAAACCCUAACUCCAUCCUCUUUUCUGUUUCCUCCUCGCGAACCACCCAUCCUUAGCUCUUAACUCCGCCUAUACUAACCACGACCACCAAUAUAUUCAUCCUCCUCAUCUCACCAGCACCCCCGCUAAAAAACCUCCGCCUCAGCAACAAGUUCAUCUUAUGUAAAAUUCGAAGCUUUUGAGUGAAAAUCUUGAAAAUUGGCAUCUGGGUUAUUGUUAAUUUGUAUUUUAAAUUUCUGGGUUUGUCUCCAAAAUUGAGAUUAAAGAAAACUUUAAGAAAGAGAAAAUGAGAAGAUCUCCUUGUUGUGAUAAGCUAGGGAUGAAGAAAAGGCCAUUGAAAUUAGCGUUCAGUCUCGAUGAGCGCAUUACUUCAAGCUUCAUUCUCAUCUUGACUCUGUCGCGAACUUAGGAAAUGGAAUGCUGCAGUUUUGCUGCCCUCAAAUGCAUAUUGGCAACUGGUCUACAAUUUCUCAACCUGAUUUGUACUUCCGAAAUAAUCAAGAAAUAGUUCCUCAUCCAUUUCUGGAUUAGGUUGCUCCAACAGGGAAUAGGAGAGGCGGCCUAAAGGUUUCACCCGGCAACUCUGAAUGUAUUCUCUCUCUCUCUUGUCUACAACUUCAAAGAGAAAUCAGAAGGGAUCAUGUGUUACUAAUGGGUCCAUCAUCAGUUCUCUAGAACUAGGAGAAUGAAUUUUUUAUUUGCGCUAAUUUUUGUUCAUGUUUUGUUUGUGUAUUUUAAUUACAGUUUUUAUGUAUACAUGUGCUGAACUUAGAGUAAUAAUAGUCUGCAGUUUGUUGUGGCAGCUAAUUUAUUUUUAUUUUUU